CAUCCCCUUGAUGAAAAUUUUCCAGAAUUCUAACGUUAAAAGUAGACUGAAAAAACUUUGAUGUCUAAUAAUUUCUGAGGGAUG